rnacentral:rRNA from 1 species
AUGGCUCAGGACGAACGCUGGCGGCGUGCUUAACACAUGCAAGUCGAACGAGAAUCUACUGAAAGAGUUUUCGGACAAUGGAAGUAGAGGAAAGUGGCGGACGGGUGAGUAACGCGUGAGGAACCUGCCUUGAAGAGGGGGACAACAGUUGGAAACGACUGCUAAUACCGCAUGACGCAUAGAGGUCGCAUGAUCUUUAUGCCAAAGAUUUAUCGCUUCAAGAUGGCCUCGCGUCUGAUUAGCUAGUUGGCGGGGUAACGGCCCACCAAGGCGACGAUCAGUAGCCGGACUGAGAGGUUGAACGGCCACAUUGGGACUGAGAUACGGCCCAGACUCCUACGGGAGGCAGCAGUGGGGAAUAUUGGGCAAUGGGCGCAAGCCUGACCCAGCAACGCCGCGUGAAGGAAGAAGGCUUUCGGGUUGUAAACUUCUUUUAAGAGGGAAGAGCAGAAGACGGUACCUCUAGAAUAAGCCACGGCUAACUACGUGCCAGCAGCCGCGGUAAUACGUAGGUGGCAAGCGUUGUCCGGAUUUACUGGGUGUAAAGGGCGUGCAGCCGGGUCUGCAAGUCAGAUGUGAAAUCCAUGGGCUCAACCCAUGAACUGCAUUUGAAACUGUAGAUCUUGAGUGUCGGAGGGGCAAUCGGAAUUCCUAGUGUAGCGGUGAAAUGCGUAGAUAUUAGGAGGAACACCAGUGGCGAAGGCGGAUUGCUGGACGAUAACUGACGGUGAGGCGCGAAAGUGUGGGGAGCAAACAGGAUUAGAUACCCUGGUAGUCCACACUGUAAACGAUGAAUACUAGGUGUGCGGGGACUGACCCCCUGCGUG